GUGGGUAUAGCUCAGUGAUAGAGCACAUACUUAGCAUGCAUGAGGUCCCGGGUUUAACCCCUAGUACCUCCA
rfam:Camelus ferus unplaced genomic scaffold scaffold29076, whole genome shotgun sequence.